GCGCUCUUGGAGCGGCCGAUGUCUGAUUAGCUAGUUGGUGAGGUAAUGGCUUACCAAGGCGACGAUCAGUAGCUGGUCUGAGAGGACGACCAGCCACACUGGGACUGAGACACGGCCCAGACUCCUACGGGAGGCAGCAGUGGGGAAUUUUGGACAAUGGGCGAAAGCCUGAUCCAGCCAUGCCGCGUGAGUGAAGAAGGCCUUCGGGUUGUAAAGCUCUUUCAGUCGGAAAGAAACGAUUGUGACUAAUACUCACAAUUAAUGACGGUACCGACAGAAGAAGCACCGGCUAACUACGUGCCAGCAGCCGCGGUAAUACGUAGGGUGCGAGCGUUAAUCGGAAUUACUGGGCGUAAAGGGUGCGCAGGCGGUCUUGCAAGUCAGAUGUGGAAUCCCCGGGCUUAACCUGGGAAUUGCGUUUGAAACUACAAGGCUAGA
rnacentral:rRNA from 1 species